rnacentral:rRNA from 1 species
UACGGGGGGAGCAAGCGUUAAUCGGAAUUACUGGGCGUAAAGCGCGCGUAGGCGGCUUGUCGCGUCUGCUGUGAAAACCCGAGGCUCAACCUCGGGCCUGCAGUGGGUACGGGCAGACUAGAGUGCGGUAGGGGAGAUUGGAAUUCCUGGUGUAGCGGUGGAAUGCGCAGAUAUCAGGAGGAACACCGAUGGCGAAGGCAGAUCUCAGGGCCGUAACUGACGCUGAGGAGCGAAAGCGUGGGGAGCGAACAGG